rnacentral:misc_RNA from 1 species
AGCAUAAGGGUAGUCUUUAACAUUUCUGCAGCAGUGGGAAGCUUGUUAUGGGUGAAAACACGGUAAGUAAACGUGUGAUGAUAGGUGACGACAUGAGGAAGGCAGCGCAGGACAGUAGUUGCCUCUCAAUUCUCAAGGCGAUAUCACCUUCACCAUGAUAACACACUCACGAGCGCCAAGAGGGGUUGUGAUGGUGCUUGUAAUCUGUCAUUGCGCCUUUCCUCCCGUCUACACCCAUGGUCAGAGCAAUGGGUCGACAUCUUACUGCCCACAUCGCCACGCCUUGAAGGAGGAGACGCAAAUACUGGAGGCGUCCGUGGUGGAGAGGGAAACAAGGCCCAGCAACAUCGUCAAUUUGCACACUGCCACGUACACCACCGCCAAUACUUACCUGCCCCGCACCGUCACCGUUCACAGGCCAAAGGUGCAGAUAGUGCAUUCCGUGGUGGUGACAUCACCUCAGCACACCACACAGACAGAGGUGUUGACCGUUACCUUCACCACUACAGCUCUCACCACCACUACAGCCACCCGCCUCCUCCACACCACCACCACACUCGUCCCUCCACGCCUCCCUCCUGUCACCUCCACUUCCACCUUGGUAGUGGAGCGGCCCGUCACCUCCCUCGUCCCCAGCGUCUCUUACGUCACGCCGGUGCAGACGGUGGUGGAGUUCCUGACGAAGAGAAUGACCACCGGUGUCUCUAGUCACGCCCCCGCCACGCCUUCCACCUACACCAUCACCGACACCAUUGUCUUCACUGUCUGUCCCCCUGAGGUCUUUCUAUAAGUAAAUCUUCACUUGUGUAUUGAAUUUGUCCGUGAUUCUGUAUUGUAUUCGUUUUCAAAUACUUUUCUUGUCGGCUUAAUUGCCCUGGUGUUACGUCAACCCGUCAUUUAUAACGUAUUGGAAGAACAAAGGAGAGGAGAGACAGGGCGGAUUGGUUGUGGAAGUCUUUAAAGAGGCGUUAUAUACAUUGCCUAUAGUGAUGUGGAUUACGCCUUAUUGGUAGUGGUAGUAGUAGUAGUAGUAUUAUAGUAGCAUCAGCAGUAUUUCCCUAGAAGCUAAGGAGUUAUUGUAUAUAAUAAAAACACAAUACACACACACACACACACACACACACACACACACACACACACACAAACACACACACACACACACACACACACACACACACACA